rnacentral:rRNA from 1 species
UGAACGCUGGCGGUAGGCCUAACACAUGCAAGUCGAACGGCAGCACAGUAAGAGCUUGCUCUUACGGGUGGCGAGUGGCGGACGGGUGAGGAAUACAUCGGAAUCUACUUUUUCGUGGGGGAUAACGUAGGGAAACUUACGCUAAUACCGCAUACGACCUACGGGUGAAAGCAGGGGAUCUUCGGACCUUGCGCGAUUGAAUGAGCCGAUGUUGGAUUAGCUAGUUGGCGGGGUAAAGGCCCACCAAGGCGACGAUCCGUAGCUGGUCUGAGAGGAUGAUCAGCCACACUGGAACUGAGACACGGUCCAGACUCCUACGGGAGGCAGCAGUGGGGAAUAUUGGACAAUGGGCGCAAGCCUGAUCCAGCCAUACCGCGUGGGUGAAGAAGGCCUUCGGGUUGUAAAGCCCUUUUGUUGGGAAAGAAAAGCAGCAGGUUAAUACCCCGCUGUUCUGACGGUACCCAAAGAAUAAGCACCGGCUAACUUCGUG